CACAGGGGACUCUCGGGCAGCUUGUGGCAUUACUCAGUCCCUCCAGAAGCAAAGGCAGGAAAAAUCAACCUUCGUCACAAUGACUGUGCCUUGGUCAUGCAGCACCAAUGGUUCUGCCCCCGGGAUGAUGAGCGAGCAGAAUAUUGGACAGACCAGAAGCAGGGCAAGUUCUUGCUGCAUAAAGGAUCUAACAGACAGUCUCCUGUGAGAAUAGAAGCUACGUCUUAAACUACAUCAGAGGCAAACGUGAGUGGUUCAGACAGGAACUGCUCAGACCACCAGCCUUUGGAGACUUUGGACUCUAUGGUGAAGGUAAAGCACCCUGGAAAAUGUGCCAGCAUGACACUCUGCCAGAAUGUCC
rnacentral:lncRNA from 1 species